rnacentral:lncRNA from 1 species
GCAUUUUUCAGUAACAGGAGUCCUGCGCAAUAAGAAAUAGCCCAGACUGAGCAACAAACACUUCACAUGUUCUAGUACUAUAGGGAUAUUGUGCCUUUUAAGGGGAUAGUAGCAAUGACACUAAUGUUCUUGGGGUGCUAGAUAUUACACUGUUUUAGAGAAAGAGCUCUUUAACAGAGUUUUGAUUUAAGCACUUCAUAGGAAAUUGGGCACCUUUCCAUUGCCAGGAGCAAAUUCUGGUUCUUUGCAUUUUUCAGAUUAAUUCCACCAAAAGUAACCAUUAAUUCACCAGAAGUCUAGGGGUAUUUUGGGUACAGAAACAGGUGGCAGAUUCAGAUUAUUGCAAAGAAGGGUAAUGCUGCUGAAGAGGAGAAGCUAUAAACUCAUAAAUUUCCAGUGAGCAUUAGCCAUCAGUUUAUUUGCCUGCUAUUUUAGGAAAUGUUUCCGGUAAUAAAACGUCAUCAAUCUAUUAUUUCUUUUGGCCAAUCUCUCUCAGCCUGCCUAUAUAACACUCAUUGUGGCCUAUAUUUAACUGAGAAUAACCUCUGCUUAUUUCCUCUCUUCCACCAUGAGUUUUAUUCCUUUAACAAGCACAACAGCAUGCUGCUCCGGCUUCAAAGAGAAAAUUAAUUCCGUCCGCAAAAGGGUCAAGUGCUGGAAAGUGCAUAGCAAUGCAGUUUGCAUGGCAGGAUCCAGGAGAUAUGAUGCUAAUAAGAUUCCAAGAUGAGAACAGCAGACUGGCUCUGGGGAUUCAGAUGAAGGGUUCUGUAAAUUUUAAAAGAAAUGGUCUCCAAAAACUAAUGAUGUCUGCUUUCCAAUUCAUUAAUAAUGUGAAGCAGGGAGAUGGGAGUGAGAACAGGCCAUGCUUUGAAAUAUCAGAAUGUAACGAGGGAAAAAACAGCGAGAGCUCAUCUCACCGGGGUCAUAAAGCUCGGAGGAACAGGCGGGCUGCAGGGGAACACAGUGUCGGUGCCUGGAGGGAAGGAAAUUGCACUGUGUGUUCUGCGAUGUGUAAUUUAUGCACAGACUCUUAGCCAGCAUUGAUGUAAAGUUUCUAUGAAGAAAAAGAUGCUCUUGUAUUGACAGAUCUUUUUCAAUGUUCUUGUUUAAGGUGACUUAGUACACAGUAUAUUUGAUGAGUUUUAAAACCAGAUAUGAAUCGCCUUAGCAUAUUUACAAAUGGCUUUUGGUAAACCUUCCCCUUCACCUUUCUGCAUUGCAUGCACGAAACCUUAAGCUUGUUUGUAGUUAAUAUUGGAAGAAAACCCCUCAGGCAAAACCUAAUGAACUGAGAGCAAUUCUGAGCUUCCCUCUGCAAUAUCUUGACAGCCUUUGCCUUUCCAAGGGCUCUUGGACAUAUCUUGUGACCUUGUUGCUUUUGCAUCACAACAGCCUUCCAUUACUGCUGCAGCAUUUGUUGGUGGUGCUGCUGUGCUGACAUGAUGUUGGAGUCUCUCCCCUGUGCUUGCAACGGGCAGCCAAUGGAAAAUGUCUGUGCCUGAGCACUUUCCAGAGUGGGAAGUUGUGAGGCAGCAGGAUUCAGCUCGGACUUUUAUUCUGACAAAGCUAGCAUGAUUGCAGAGUGAGGUUAAAGUCUUCCUCCUAUAUCUUUUACUUUUAGCUGUAUGAUACUUUUCCAUCUCACCUUGAAACCUGUCAGCAAUGGCUGAUGAGGUUCUGCAAGAACCGUACUGCCACUGGCAGCUCUUCAGAGGGAGAGGGGCUCCACUGCCAGCCCUCAAUCUGCCCAUGCGACUGCCACUCCACUGGGAGCCUGUGCCGGGCUCCUGCAGCUGGACCUGCCUGUGCCAGGGCAGCGAGGGCACCGUGCUGGUGUUCCCUCCCACAGCUCAGCUCAGCUCAGUCCUGCUAUUUGUCAGUGCAGGUUUUAGCCCAAGCAGGAUCAGUGUCUCCUCUCUGCUGCACUGCACUGCCCUGGAGCCCUUUACCUCUCUGCUCUUAGACCAUAGGAGCCAUCUACUUGUUUUAGCUCAAGCUGCACUCUCUUGAGGCAGGCCUUGCUCCAGACAGGUGACCUCUCUUAAAUGCAGGAUUCAGUAAGCGAGAGCAGGUGCUGGGAAUUCCUGUCCCCUCAGAAGAGCUGUUUUCAUGAGGGCUCAUGCUGAGCUGCAGAAUCGGGGGUGUCCGAGGGUGUGGUGGGUGGUUUGGGGUAGACAGCUCAUACAGCCUGAAAAGGAGACCGGAGCUGAGGUUUGCUUCCUUGCUAAAGCCUCAGCCAUGGAGAUGGGUGAAGUGGGGCUCUGCAUCAUGGCUGCAAUAUGUUCACAGAAAAGGUUUCUAUUACAGUGUUUAUGAGUACUGUGUAUUUCUUUACCCAGAGAUGAUAGGCCUCUCAGUAUUGGCAGAUGUGCCUCAGCUGUCCCUAAAGCAACCAUGGAGUCAUUGGCAGCAGCUUCAAAAGCCACAGCCUUCACCUAUGGGGAUUUUUUUGCAUGUCCUUGGUCUCCAGUGGACAUAUAUAAACUGACUUUAAAGCGAACAACGGGGUCGUACAGCCAUAUGUAUAAAGUUCUCAUAUUUGCAUCUCAGGUGUUUCCUUGGGGAAUUUGUGUCCUCAAGAAAUCUCAAGAAUUUCCUUGAGGGUUCUUCCAGUGAAGUUCUUGGUUGUUAUUCAGUAUUUCCACACUUGCCUGCAGCCAUGGUCAAUCAGUGGAAGCAGGCAGGUGCUCAAAGCUGCUGCAGUGGAGGCACAGAUGUGAGCAUCAGGACUGUCUCAUGGCAGUGGUGAAGAGGUGAAAACCAGCUGGUGUGUGGAGGCCCUUUUUGGUGCUGUUCUUCACUCAGACACUGAGCAACUGGGUUGAUUUCUGUAUCAAUAAUCUUCCAUCAUAAACUGCUCUGGUUUGCAGCUCAGCAGUAACAUCACUGUAGCCACCAGGACCUCAGCAUAAGCUGCUAAUUUUUUAAGGUCUUUGCUUACUCCUGUGUUUAUCUGUGCUCCUGUCUAUUCAGUCCAGCAAUCAUUUUUUUCUGGACUUCCCCUCACUCUCACGAGAGCACGUGCCUGUCAGUGAUGAGUGUAGUCAUUUUACAGCUUCUUCUUCCCCUCCCUCAGCAUCCAGCAUCCACGUGAUGCUCACAGAAGCUGGGCAGAUCCAUUGCUCCUGAAAGCCAGACCCUGUGCUUAUCACUUCAGUGUGUGUCCAGUCACCAGUGUUUUGUGUGUCAUCACCUGAUACUCCAGCCAGAGAUGGGUGCUGCAGCAAGGGGAAAUGAGUGGUGGGAGGAACACGUUUGCACCUUUCACCCAGUGAAUCAGGACACAGGAAUGUCAGGCAGGGAAGAUUUAUGUUAUCUGAGCUGCCCAGUAGCAGAUUUCUUAUUUCAUCAGAAAACCCCGACUUUUCCACUGAUGCAAUCCAGAGCUCUGCCAGAGGGACUGUCUUGGUGGUGUUCCGAUGUUGCCAUAUGAUCCCUUUUCCGCUCCUUUUCACAUACAGUGUGUGAAAACACACAUUUUCCCAGCAGUCCCCUUCCCAGUGCUUCAAACAAAGCCAGGCUGUCUGAUUAUUUCUCAUGACAGGUAUAAAACUGCUGGAUCCACAGCAGAAAACCUCUUGUGAUAAGGAAGCUCUCACUGCAAAUAAUAAGCCAGAUUUCCGUGGAAACCUGCACAGUUCCAGACCCUGGACAGGCCACAGAUUCUACAGCAGGGUUCUGUUCUUCUAACAGAUACCCAAAGGCAGAUUUUCUUUUAAUUAAGUAUGAAAAUAUAUAAUGCAGUCGGCAUGAUGCUUCUUGGUAUGUUUAUGAUUAUACUCCAUUUAUUUGUUUUGUUCUCAACAUCUUCUUCCAUUGGGAGGGAAUUUUCCAUACCACCUGUGUAUGAGGAGUGAAUGGGACUUAAGGAUGGUGGGAGCAAGACAGAGCUCAGUUGUGGUUUUUAUUAUCAGAGUGCAAAUGGGCACCAUUUAUGGUUGUGAACUAACACACUAACUGAUCUUUUCCAUAAAAUAAUAUUGACAUUGCAAAGUUGAUGUUUUUAAGCUGUUGUCUUUAGGUUUCAGUAUUACAAAGCUUUAGAGUCCAGUGGAGUAUUUAAUUUCUCAUUACACUUAAUGUUUCACCUUCUGUUUCCAAACUCAGAAAAAAAUAUUUAUUGUUUCAGUAAUAUUCUGACAAUAUUUUAUUAUUUUUCUCUCCAACCAAAGGACAAAAAUAAUUUAAUUUCCCCAGCAUGAAGAUAAUUCCAUGAAUCCCAGCUCUGUAGAGGGAGCUGCUCCAUAGAGCCUCUUCUCCGUGUACAGACUCCUUGGGGCUCCUACGUCCUCUGUGUCUCCCAGCUUUGAUUCUGCCUUUCUCUUUGCCUUAUUUUUCCUUUUGACUACUUUUCUGUGCUCUAAGGUCAAAGGUUUUCCCCAUGGAAAGAAAAAGUUUACCCAUUCCUAGCCUUUCCUACACUAUUUGCGCACCUAGCAUCACAAGCCCCAUACCAAGCCUGGCAGCGCUUGGGCACACAGGCACAACGGGCAGCGAGGGGCUCUCCAGCCCUUCACCUGCCUGCACACCAUGCCCUCCCUGCCGUGUUCCCAUCCCGGUGCUGCAGUUCUGCAGCUGGAGACAAUGUGCUGGAGCUUUCUGUCUGAGGGGAGUUCAGGGAGGGGAGAGGGGAAAAGGCUGUUAGAUCUAUUGCUGGCAAUUUAGAUUCAGAGACAUUUCAUCUGCAGUUCCCUCAAGUGUUGAAUUGAAUAAAACCAGAGCAGCAGUGGAAAAGGAGGUGGGGGAAGGGCUCCAACCACUCUUAGCUAAACAAAAAGAGACAGGCAGCUCAUAAAAAAGGAAUUGCACCCUUGAGUUGAAAAUCUGGAUUCACAGGGCAGGGAGGAGGCCGCGUGGCAGAGCCCACCCAUGGCCAGGCAGCACUGCUGUGGAUUUCUCGCACUCCUGCAGCCAGAGCAGAUCACAAGGCUCAAUUCUGGGUUUCCUGAUUUUCUGUUGAUUUUUUGAAGCUCUUGUUGUAAAAUCAAGCAGGAAGAACAGAAUCUCAGGCUUUGGUUGCAAUUAAAAAAAACCCUGUCCUUCACUUUCCAGUGCUUUAGGAGAAAAGUCCUCAAGGGUCAAAAAUUCAAAAGAAGUAACUUAACACUUAUAAUUUUGUAAACACUUUCUGCUGAGGGCCAUACUCAUCAUUCCCAGUUUCAGCUGCGGGAUGGUAGAAGUGUUCUCACCAUUAGGCAUUUUUGUUCCUCUGCCUUUGAGGGAAUUGCUCUGGCUAUGCACUGCAGCACCUGGAUUUCUCUGAAUCUGUCCUAUUCCCCAGGUGUCAGGUGAGGACGGCUUCACAGGAGCGCUCAUCCGGGCCAAGGCUGGGAGGAGAGCCACAGCCAUCAGAGAGAACCGGGUUACAGCAGACAGUACAUCCUCAGGGGCUCUCCUGCCUUGUGCGAGUGUGGUGCCAAUGCCCCUGCAGUGCCACAGGGCUGGCUGUGGCUUCCUUCAGCGUUCCCUGCCUAAAAAGUGUCCUCUGCCUUUGUGGUGCACCUGCAGAAUCCCACGUGAAGCACAAAGCUGGAUGCUCAAGAGCAGAGGAUCUAUCAACUGCAGACCAAGCAGAGGGAGAGGCAGGCAGACCUGGAGCAGAAAUGCAGCCAGAGCAGCAGCUCAGCCAGGACCUGGGGGCCAGCCACCAGCUACGGAAAGGAGCUUGGAGCAGGAGUCUGGUUGGUGCAUCCAUGCUGGGCUAUAGAGGCCACAGAUCCCACGGUGGUUCCAGGAGCACUCUGCCAGCCUCAGCCACCCGCAGCUCAUGGGCUCAGGAAGCAGAAAUGGGGUCUUGCAUUCCAUCAAUCACAGCCCCAAGCCUAAUUCCUGAGGAGGAACAGAGCUACAGCAGCUGAGACUGCAGUGAGCUCUUGUGAGAAAGAUGGUGCAAAUGCCCCAGAUCUUCAGCAAGAUUAGGACCAUCUGGCUGAGUCAUACCUUGGAGACUGGGGACAGCUGCUAAACAUCUGGAAAAAAGAAGACAUUUUAUAAGGUCAGCAGACCUGGCCUCUUCCAGACACAUUUACCCUCUAGUGUUUGCCCACCUGAGGGGCUCGGUAAUGCUGUGGAAUGCCAAUGUAGCCAGAUGAAUCAGUGCUGGCGUGAACUAUCCAAGAGCACAAAUAGCAUCAUGUUCUUGUGAUCCUCCUUUGCAUUUCCUUCCUGCAGGUUCCCGGGGUUAGCAGGAAGGGAUUGACCUCCAGUACCCACGGUCGUGAAAAUUUCCCCUUACUCUGAAAUCAGUAACUUCUCUGACUAAGAUAGCUUCAGACAAGCGUUUGGCUGAACUUGAAGACAUCAAGAGACAGACAUCCUCCUCUGGCAGUCAGUCUCUUCACAUCACUCCCACUGUUUUGGGUUUUUUUCUUCUCAUGAUUGCUAUGCCAACA